GACGACCGCUGGCGGCGUGCUUAACACAUGCAAGUCGAACGGGCCUGUCUUCUUUUUUGGGGGUGGGUUGAGUGGCGAACGGGUGAGUAUCACGUGAGUAACCUGCCCUUCGGUCCUGGAUAACCGCUUGAAAGGGCGGCUAAUACGGGGUGGUCCGGUUGGUCCGCAUGGGCUGGUCGGGAUAGAUUCACUGUUUUUGGUGUUUCGGCGGGGGAUGGGCUCGCGGCCUAUCAGCUUGUUGGUGGGGUGAUGGCCUACCAAGGCGGUGACGGGUAGCCGGCCUGAGAGGGUGGGCGGCCACACUGGGACUGAGAUACGGCCCAGACUCCUGCGGGAGGCAGCAGUGGGGGGUAUUGCACAAGGGGCGGAAGCCUGAUGCAGCGACGUUGCGUGAGGGAUGGAGGCCUUCGGGUUGUGAACCUCUGUUUCCGGUGGUGAAGGCCCUGUCCGUGUGGUGGGGUUGACGGUAGCCGGGGAUGAAGCGCCGGCUAACUACGUG
rnacentral:rRNA from 1 species